AGAAUGACUCUCGGCAACGGAUAUCUCGACUCUUGCAUCGAUGAAGAACGUAGCGAAAUGCGAUACUUGGUGUGAAUUGUAAAAUCCCUUGAACCAUCGAGUCCUUGAAUGCAAGUUGCACCCGAAGCCUUCUGGCCGAGGGCACGUCUGUCUGGGCGUCA
rnacentral:rRNA from 1 species